rnacentral:rRNA from 1 species
UAAUGGGUCAGCGACUUAUAUUCUGUAGCAAGGUUAACCGAAUAGGGGAGCCGAAGGGAAACCGAGUCUUAACUGGGCGUUAAGUUGCAGGGUAUAGACCCGAAACCCGGUGAUCUAGCCAUGGGCAGGUUGAAGGUUGGGUAACACUAACUGGAGGACCGAACCGACUAAUGUUGAAAAAUUAGCGGAUGACUUGUGGCUGGGGGUGAAAGGCCAAUCAAACCGGGAGAUAGCUGGUUCUCCCCGAAAGCUAUUUAGGUAGCGCCUCGUGAAUUCAUCUCCGGGGGUAGAGCACUGUUUCGGCAAGGGGGUCAUCCCGACUUACCAACCCGAUGCAAACUGCGAAUACCGGAGAAUGUUAUCACGGGAGACACACGGCGGGUGCUAACGUCCGUCGUGAAGAGGGAAACAACCCAGACCGCCAGCUAAGGUCCCAAAGUCAUGGUUAAGUGGGAAACGAUGUGGGAAGGCCCAGACAGCCAGGAUGUUGGCUUAGAAGCAGCCAUCAUUUAAAGAAAGCGUAAUAGCUCACUGGUCGAGUCGGCCUGCGCGGAAGAUGUAACGGGGCUAAACCAUGCACCGAAGCUGCGGCAGCGACACUAUGUGUUGUUGGGUAGGGGAGCGUUCUGUAAGCCUGUGAAGGUGGCCUGUGAGGG